ACUCAAAUGAAUUGACGGGGGCCCGCACAAGCGGUGGUGCAUGUGGUUCAAUUCGACGCAACGCGAAGAACCUUACCCAGGCUUGACAUGCUAGUAGUAAGAACCGGAAACGGGGAUGAGCCCGCAAGGGCAGCUAGCACAGGUGCUGCAUGGCUGUCGUCAGCUCGUGCCGUGAGGUGUUGGGUUAAGUCCCGCAACGAGCGCAACCCUUGUCUCCAGUUGCCAACGGGUCAUGCCGGGAACUCUGGAGAGACUGCCCAGGAUAACGGGGAGGAAGGUGGGGAUGACGUCAAGUCAGCAUGGCCUUUAUGCCUGGGGCUACACACGUGCAACAAUGGCCGGUACAAAGGGCUGCAAACCCGUGAGGGGAAGCCAAUCCCAGAAAACCGGCCUCAGUUCAGAUUGAGGUCUGCAACUCGACCUCAUGAAGGCGGAAUCGCUAGUAAUCGCGGAUCAGCACGCCGCGGUGAAUACGUUCCCGGGCCUUGUACACACCGCCCGU
rnacentral:rRNA from 1 species